GUGAAUCAUCGAAUUUUUGAACGCAAAUUGCGCUUCCUGGCAUCCCGGGAAGUAUGCCUGUUUGAGGGUCAGUAUUAAUAACAAAUCGGUUUAGUUACAAAUUGUGUCGUUUGCGGAGUUUGGGAUAUCUUAAUUUUUUUGGUUAACAGGCCUAAAAUUGGUUUUUUUUGCGAAUUUUUCAACGUAUAUAAAUUUUUUUUAUUCGUCUAU
rnacentral:misc_RNA from 1 species